rnacentral:lncRNA from 1 species
UGCAUGGCUGAUCUCAUAUUUACCUGCUCUUGUAGGAAGGCGGAAAUCUUGAGCAAAGAUACACACAGGAGGAAGUGACACAGGGACACAGCCUGGAGGAUGGCUUGGGGCAUUCCUCUCUCUGGAGGUAAGGGUGGUCUGGAUUCCAGCUUAGUUAGCAACCAAGAACCUGGGGGUGGGGGCCACGGGAAAAAAGUGACUGAGAGAGAUCGAAGCUACUCAUUCUUAGAUUGCUUAACUCACAGACACCAUCAGGAUCACUGCAUGUUACUACAUAAGCAUGUGUAUUUUAUAGAAUUAACUGAAUGUCAGCCCAUGACUUAGACAAGCCCAUCAGUGCCUGCUGGGACAACAUUAAGAAAAGAAUAGCAAAGGCAAUAACAGUAAAUGGCUAACAUUGAUUGAGCACUUCUAUGAUGAACAAUGGACCUUGUACAUUUUUGUAGACACAAAAUUUCAUCCUUUUGUUAGCAGUUUAACAGUCACUAAUGUAAAUUCUAUGGUCAGUCUGCUUAGAGCCAUAGCUGAACUCGGCCCAGGAGUGUCCUGGUUCGUUUGUUUUGUUUUGUUUUUCUUGUUUGGGUUUGGAUCUUUGCUUUUCUCUUCUUUUUCUUUCUUCUCUUUGCUUUUUGAUAAAAUGUUACUACAUAGUUAUAGCUGGCUUGGUACUCAUUUAUAAGCUAGGGUGCCUCGUUGGAUUUACUGGUAUGCUCUUGCUUCAAACUCCUGAGGGCUGGGAUUAAAUUCUUGCUGUUAAGUACAUGAGUGGAAUUUCAUGCUGGUCUAGUGUUACACACCUGUCAACUCUGUACCUUGAAGGCUGAUACAGGAAGAUGAGUUCUGGUCUUAAUGAGUGUAAGAAUAGCCUGGGAAGUAUAGUAAGAUGCUCUUUCACCCCCCCCCCCAUCAAAGUUGCUUUUUCUUCUUUAAGCACAAUUUAGACAUGAAUGUUAUUGAUAUUUUUUGCUUACCUGCCAAGGAUGAUUGCCACUUGGCACACUAGUGUGCUGAUCUGAGACCUCCACCAUCACACAGCAGGACUGAUGAUCCUCAAGGCCUUGAACUCUUUAUUUAAUGUAUGUGAGUGCACUGUCACUUCUUCAGACACAACAGAAGAUGAUAUCAGAUCUCAUUAUAGAUGAGUGUGAGUCACUAUGUGUUUUCUGGGAAUUGAACUCAGGACGUUUGGAAGAGUAAUCAGUGCUCUUAACCACUGAGCCAUCUCUCCAACCCAUGCUUGCACUCUUUAAAUUCUAGUUGAGCUUUCCAUUUCCCACUCAGGCUUAAUCUCUCCUUCUGAAGAUGCUGUGCUUGUCAUCCACUGGGAUAGGUGUGGGACUUAAGCCCUCAUUCUCCUGUUCCUCUGUUAUUCAAAUAGCACCUAUAAUUUUCCUUGCAAAAGAAAUAAACCCAAGGGCUCAGGCUGAAAUGGGCAUGGGGCAUAGUCAUGAGAGAGAAUAGCUUUCCUUGGAAGACUCCACUGCCUGUCAGAAACAAAUGCUACCUCCAAUUUCAGGAGAGAUAAGUUCUGGAGGAAGAAGCUGAGGGUAGGUUAGAAAACCCACUAUGUAGGUUCUUCAUGUCUGCCUGUCCAUCUACUUAUUUAUGUAUCUAUAUAUCAAUGUAUCUAUGUGUUUAUUUAUGUAUUUAUCUAUGUAUCUAGUAUCUAUGUAUCUAUGUAUUUAUUUAUAUAUGUAUCUAUUAUUUAUGUACCUAUGUAUUUAUGUAUAUAUCUAUUGAUGUAUAUAUGUAUCUAUCAUCUAUUUAUCUAUGUAUCUAUCUAUUCAUCUAUCACCUAUCUAUCUAUCUAUCUAUCUAUCUAUCUAUCUAUCUAUCUAUCUAUCUAUUGGGACAUUCUUAUUCUGUCACUCAGGCUGGCCUCAAAACUCUUCUGGGCUCAGCUGGGCAUACAGCUGUGAAUCAUCUCACCUAGCUUGGUGCUUUGUUUCUUUAGAUUUUUGGUAUUGCUUCUCCACAACACAGUAAAGAUCAAAUACUGGCUAUCUUCUGUGAGGGCUGUAUCAAGCAAGGAUGUGGGUGUUUUGUGGAGGAAAGUCUUCUCCCAGACAACACAUCUACGGAGACUCGGUAGUGGCUAUGUUCUGGUUUAGGUCCUUUCUCAUUGUAUUUGGAGUGAGAUGCUUUAGAACUAGCUAUUUCCAGCUCCUCAUAGCUAUCACCUCUGAUUUAAACGUGCUGGCCUUCUCUGAUAGACUUUGCCCUGGCUUUCUCCUUUUUUUGGCUUUACACAGUGGUUAUUAGCCUCUGGUUUGUGUGUGAGAUGCAGUUGCCAUUCUCCUUUGGAUGCUGUGUAAAUUUCUCUAUUUGCUAUGCAACAAGAUAAUCCAGCUCUUAGGUUCAAAACCAGUCAUGUAAAAAGAAUAACUCAUUUGAGCUAGCACAGAAUAUCUGUCAGCUGUGAGAGGGCUGUCCUCCCAUAUAGACACUUGGAGGUAGAGGCACAGUGCCAGUGUUCACUCACCUAGCAGUUAAACGUCUCAAUUCACUUUCUACUUAGAGCACUGAUACAAGUGCUCAAACCGUACCAUCAUGUAGGUAAGAGCUUGGUUCUGUUAGCAAGGUGCUGGACCAGGCAAGAUACAGAGUUCACGGACCCUUGUGUGUGUGCUUCUGUGACUGCUUGUUUAGUUUAAAAGGUUGCAUUGUUUUUUCUCUUUUUCUUUUGGAUGUAUAGUCCAUCGUUGUUUUUGUUUUUGGUUUUUUUUUUCUUUUUCAUACUCAGUUCCAACCUGGUUUUCUAGGAUUCCAUUGUUCAUGGGUUUUGCAAAUAUUUAGGUGAUUUCUGAAGUACUUAUUGAACUUCCCAGGAAAUGGUGGUUUGUGGUGAGGAGGUAAAACCCUAAGCCUUUGCUAUCUAUUGUCUCUUAGACUCAUGCAUGUCCCCUCUCCUUUGGAGUGGCUUUGCCUAACAGGUAUGUAUUUGGGCAUAGUUUUAAGCCAGCUUCACCAUGUGAAUCAGGAAACAGGUAGCAUAUAUAUUUUUUUAAAGAUUUAUUUAUUUAUUUAUUAUAUGUAAGUACACUGUAGCUGUAUUCAGACAUACCAGAAGAGGGCAUCAGCUCUCAUUAAGUAUGGUUGUGAGCUACCAUGUGGUUCCUGGGAUUUGAACUCAGGACCUUUGGAAGAGCCGUCAGUGCUCUUAACCUCUGAGCCAUCUCUCCAGCCCCAGGUAGCAUAUUUAAACUAGAAUAACCAGAAGAGAGUUUACUCAUAAAGAGGCCAUUAUGUGCAAAUAAAGUAUAAUGACAGGUGUGUGAAAAUACCAUAAUAAAACCCAAUACUGACCUAAAAAUAGAAUU